CUGCAGAGUUCAAUUUUCAACAUCAAACGUCGACAGAGAGCAAUACAAUUCACAACCGUAAAUAAACAGAAAACUGAAAAAUAGGGAAACUGUUAAUUAGAAGACUUAAGAUUAGAAGACAGAAUCUCCAUUACGGCAGCGUUUUACCUUCUGUUUCAUCCUUCAACAUCCUCUCACACAAAUUUCCUAAUCCAUCUGAAAGCCCACAGAAACAAGUGCUCAAAUUCUAUUUGCUCCAUACUUACGUUUUCCUCUGAAAGUUCAAUAAAACUGACUUAAACGCAGACAGCUCAAUACACGAACCAGCAGAUUGAGCCGACUCACCGUGUGAUGUUUGAUCGGAAUGGGGAAGAGGGAGCAUAGGAGUUAUGCAAAACACACAUCCCAUUCACUGACACUUUGCACAGCUGACUCAUUACACGGCUUUUCGGACAUACUUUUGGUGCAAACAUCCAAAUUGGGAUGUUUAAAGGCAUAACAUGACGUCUAAGAAGCAUGACGGUGCUUCACAUGGACAAAGAAACCCAUACAGUCGACUGCUUUUGCAAGAUAGAGGAAAGCAGAGGCAAACAGGACGGACUGGAUCUGACUGAUGUAUAGCUGUGCCAGAGGACUGAGAUGAGGAUUCUCCAUCAUAACGUGGGAGGUUAAUCACCCGCCUGAAGCCCUAGCAAGUAGGGUUUCGCCUGAAAAGAAUGAAGUCAUUUUCCCCUAAGACUGUCAGUGUGCCAUGGACAGGUUCUGCUGCCUGUGUUAUGAAAUCUACCUAAGCUGACAUUCCUAGUUAAAAAGCAUUAUGGAUAUAAGUUAGUACUGUCAUUUUAAAAUGAUAAACUCAGCGGUGAUGCAGUAUAGUAUUAAUUAAUUGAAAUAAAAGUUCUCAGUCUUAUUUUUAAAUACAAUGCAAAUGGCUUUAGUGCAAGCAUUUGAAUAAUAAUCUUUCUCCUGCUCAAUCAAAUCAAUUUUACACAAAGGGAUAUAGUACAAUCAAAAAUGAAAAUGUACACACUAUUUUCUGACUAUUUGUAUGAAUUAAGUAAAGAGCGAGUAAAUGAUGACAAAAGUUUGAGUUUGCGAACACAGGGAGAACAUCCCAACUCCACACGAAACGCCAACUAACCCAGCCGAGGCUCGAACCAGAGGCCUUCUUGCUGUGAGGCAACAGCAGUACCUACUGUGCCACUGCGUCACCGUUGAUGAACCAGUGUAAAGAAAUCUAAGGCGCUUAAAAAGAACUUAAAAGUUUUAAAUGCUAUUUUGCAAGGUUUUCCAUUUUAUUUCUUUUUUGAUUAUGCAAUGUAUAGUUGUAUGUAUGCUUUCCUGAAUUAAAUUUGCGAAUAUCAGGUUUAUGAAAUCAAUAAAUCCUGCUAGAUUUGACAUCAUGCUGCUUUGUUUACUGCAGUAACCAAGGGAGCACUAUUAUUUCUGCAGUACUAUAAGUGCCGACCUGCUGGAUUAGCUAGAGUUAAUUAAAUCUUAUUCAGUAUAUAAUUAUGGUUUUCGUUUUGGAUUAAUUUCUUACAUUUAAUAUUUAGUAAAUAUACUGCAAGUUAAAAUCCCGCCAGUGUUUCCGGUUGAAACCUAAAGGGGUGUUAAGCUGUUAAGAUGUAUGGAAAGGGUCUUUAAAAAGGUCUCAAAGGGUAAUGAAUUUCACUCUCUUAUUCCUUCCUCUAUAUACUCUGUGGGACAAC
rnacentral:lncRNA from 1 species